UCUGGAAACUCUGAUGCUAAAUUCUUGAUGC
rnacentral:piRNA from 1 species